CGCGCCCGGGCGCGGCCUCGGUGGGCGCACUCGAUCCCGGCCGGGCUCUCCCGCGCGGAUCGGGUCCGCGCUACCGGAGCCGCGCUCGCGGCCUGACGCG
rnacentral:misc_RNA from 1 species